CGUAAGCUCCCGGUGUGUAUCUUUCCGGUGAGUCAAUCCUAGCUGGACAAGGGGAUCACUCACUAUUCCAGCCAACCUCCUAGGAAUGGCUCUCAUUGGCCGGAGUUGAGUCACAUAUCCGUGCCUGAGCCAAUCGCUGGCCAGCAGGAAGGAAUGCUUUGAUUGGCAAUAAUGAGGCCCCACUCUGGGACCCAGCUGCCAUACGUUCAGCCCACGUUCACCACAUGACAUGAAAAUAGGAGAGGGGUCAUAGUUCACAGGGAGGACUGUGUGUUGUUACGCAAAGGAAGGUGGACAGGGGGUGCGUAAAAUCCACAGACGUUCAGCACAGACGUGUGCAGUUAGUCCUGACAUGGAACCUACCACUGUACGACACUGUCUAGAUUUCUCUAGAAUUGGAUCAGCAGGCUUGGUGGGGGAUUUUAGGAAUUAGGCAAUUGUAGAUGUUUUGAAAUCGAUUAGCUCAAAUUCACUUUACAGCUGAAAAGUUAAGUGACUUGCCCCAGGCACCCAUCUAUUGGGAAAGAGACAAGCUUGCUCCUCAUACCCAGGCCGGGACACCAGGUUGCCCUUGACCCCAGCGUCUGUCUUCCUUCCCAGGACUGCCUUGACUAAUCCAGCAACCCGGCAUCUGGCAGCCUCCAGGCUUCUCGCCCUUUCCCAACGAGACUUCUGGCAUUGCCUUGACCAAAGGGGAUGUUGCAGACUCCGCAACGAGAUGAUAUCAGGAAGCCAAAUGCAAAACAGGCAUUCCCACAUCCCCGUUAGCCAACGAGCCCCCACACUGGAACAGGAGGGCAGAGUACAUCCUGUUACCGGGAGUUAAGCCAUCUUCCUCCUGGCCCAUUGCGAACACGUGCAAGUCAAGACGAGGUCUCUCCCAUGGCUCAUUCCCAAGAAAUCAAAGGCAGGAGAGGAACCCGGGUCUUCCGGAUGUCUUCUUGACGAUGGUCAACAUCUCUUGCAAGUACAGAUGACACCUCAUGGCAUUAUCACGCCUCCUCCCAGGGCUUUUCAUCUCCUACCCAGAAAUUCUCUCUCCCUCUCUGUCCUCACACUGCCCAUUAUUUAUAUCUGUGCCAACACUUUUCGGGGCGCCCGGGUGGCUCAGUCCGUCAAGCGUCCGACUUCGGCUCAGGUCACGAUCUCACAGUCCGUGGGUUCGAGCCCCGCCUUGGGCUCAGUGCUGACAGCUCGGAGCCUGGAGCCUGCUUCGGAUUCUGUGUCUCCUUCUCUCUCUCUGCCCCUCCCCCACUCGGUCUCUGUCUGUCUCUCUCGUUCUCUCUCGAAAAUAAAUAAACAUCAAUAAAUCAAUAAAUAAAUAAAUAAAGGCCA
rnacentral:lncRNA from 1 species